GUUCAGGUUGGAUAUCAGGAACAGUUUCCUCUCAACAAAGCAGUGCUGCGUUGGCACAGCUGCCCAGGAGUGAUGGAUGGGGUCACCAUCCCUGGAGGUGUCCCAGAGCCAUGGAGAUGUGGCACUGAGGGAUGUGGGCACUGGGCACGGUGGGCUGGGCUGGGGUUGGGUUUGGGGAUCUCGGAGGUCUUUUCCAGCCUUAAUGAUGCUGUGAUUCCAUGCUUGCUUUCUGGUGCGGCUUUGUUUUGCAGUGACAGCCCAGCUGGCCACCUUCAAUUAUUUCAGCUCCUUAUCAGUUUCAGGCUGAUCAGCAAGAAGUGUCCGUUCUCACAUCUAUAUUCCACCUCUUCCUCCUGCACGAUUCUGUUUGUCCUGCUGCUCCUUCCCCACACCACUCAUGCAGAGCUGGCUGUGCCUCGAGCUGAAUGGUUUGCUGACAUUGAAGCUUGCUUGUUGCAGCACAGUCUGUGCAUCCUCAAGACAUCGUCAAGUUGAAGCCCUGCAACCCAUUUGAGAUUCCAGAGGCAUUUUGCUGUCGUGAUCCAGGGGAUUUCUCCUAGAGCUCGGCGUCAACUCAGCCCACGUGGAUGUGUUCAUCCCUCAGGAUGAUAGAAUCAUAGGAUGGUUGGGUUGGAAGGGGACCUCAGAGCCCACCCAGUUCCGACCUCCUGCCAUAGAGUUAUGGAAUGGGUUGGGUUGGAAGGGACCUCACAGCCCCCCAGUCUCACCCCUGCCAUGGGCUGGCUUCCCCCUACCAGAUCAGGCCCAGGGCCCCAUCCAGUGUGGACAAAUUGAGUGUGCACGUUCACUGUCUCCAAUAGGAAAAGCUCCAGUAGAUGGGAUGAAAUGCCUGGCUCUUGAGCUUCCGGAUCACUGUGGAGGUCAGUGCUCUCUGGUCCCAUUAGAAAAUAAAUUCCAUCCUCAGCCUUUCCACUGAAGAUGCCCCAUCUCCCUGCAGCAGCCCUCAGCUGUGCCCUUUCUCUUUGGGUGUGAGAAGUCAAUGAGUCAACAGCAAACAUUGGCGUCAUAGUUUUCCAUGCCUUGCAAGCGUGGAGGUGGAAGAGGUGAUGUGCAAACCUCCCUGCCUGGAGCCCUGCAGACCCCACAGCUGCUUUGUUGCUCUUGCUUUCACGGCUCUUUCAAUCUCUCUCAAAGUCUGUAUCACAUCUCAGAGCAGUGCCAUACUUUGCACUUGAAGAGCG
ensembl:lncRNA